UACGUAGGGUGCAAGCGUUGUCCGGAAUUAUUGGGCGUAAAGGGCUCGUAGGCGGUCCAUCGCGUCGGGAGUGAAAAGCUGGGGCUUAACCCCAGUCCUGCUUCCGAUACGGGUGGACUAGAGGUAGGUAGGGGAGAUCGGAAUUCCUGGUGUAGCGGUGAAAUGCGCAGACUAUCAGGAGGAACACCGGUGGCGAAGGCGGAUCUCUGGGCCUUACCUGACGCUGAGGAGCGAAAGCAUGGGGAGCAAACAGG
rnacentral:rRNA from 1 species